rnacentral:rRNA from 1 species
UAGUCUUUUAAAAAGUUUUUUUCUUAAAAAAAGUUUUUUUUUUUUUUAUUAUAAUUUUAGAAAAAAAAAUUAUCGUGUACUGAAAAGGAGAAAGUAUAUAGGUAAAAGUAGAAAUCGUACCUUUUGCAUCAUGGUUUAUUGAAAAAAAAAUCAAUUUUUUAAUUCCCGAAUUGAAAAGAUUUAUAAAAAUGUGAAAGUUUAUGUUUCAUAAUAAUUUUUCAUUUUUUUAUGGUAUCGAAAAGUUAUUCGUUUUUCAAGUUAUCUGGUUCUUUUGGAAAAAGAUUGAAUCUUAGAAGAUUUUUGUUAAAUUUUAUUAAAACAUUUAAUAAAAAACUUCUCAAUUUUAUGGAGUUAAGUUCAUAAAAAAAUUAAAUUAAAAAUUUUAUCUAAAUAAUAACUUUUUAGAAGAAAAAAAAUUUAUACAAAAAAUUAAUUUUUUACAAAAGUGUACAAUUUAAUAUUGAAAUUGUAUCAAUAAUAAUAAAAUUAGUAAUUUUUAUCAAUUGUAUUUUAGGAAUUCGGCAAAAAAUUCUCUGUCUGUUUACCAAAAACAUCGCCUUAUUUAAAAAUAUAAGGUAAAACCUGCUCACUGAAUAAUAUUAAAGAGCCGCAGUAUAUUGACUGUGCUAAGGUAGCAUAAUAAAUAGCAUCUUAAUUGGAUGCUGGAAUGAAAGGUUAAACAAGAGAAAAACUUUCUUAAAUAUAAAAAAAAAAAUUAAAUUUUAAGUGCAAAUGCUUAAAUAAAAUUAAAAGACGAGAAGACCCUAUAGAUCUUUACUUCUAAAAAAAAUUAAUAAUUUUUUCAAAAAGUUUAAUUGGGGUAAUUAAAAAAUACAAGAAAUUUUUUUUUAAUAUAAACUUUAUAAAAGGAUAAUAGAUCUUAAAUUAAAAUGACAAGACUAAGUUACCUUAGGGAUAACAGCGUAUUAAAAAAUUAAAAGAACUAAUUUUAAUUUGUGUUUACGACCUCGAUGUUGAAUUAAGAUUACCUUAGGGAGAAAAAAAUCUACAUGGUUAGUCUGUUCGACUAUUAAAAUCUUACAUGAUUUGAGUUCAGACCGACGUAAGUCAGGUCAGU